rnacentral:rRNA from 1 species
CAGCCGCGGGAAUACGUAGGGUGCGAGCGUUAAUCGGAAUUACUGGGCGUAAAGCGUGCGCAGGCGGUUCGUUAAGACAGAUGUGAAAUCCCCGGGCUUAACCUGGGAACUGCAUUUGUGACUGACGGGCUAGAUUAUGGCAGAGGGGGGUAGAAUUCCACGUGUAGCAGUGAAAUGCGUAGAGAUGUGGAGGAAUACCGAUGGCGAAGGCAGCCCCCUGGGCCAAUACUGACGCUCAUGCACGAAAGCGUGGGGAGCAAACAGGAUUAGAUACCCGCGUAGUCCCUGUCUCUUAUACACA